ACCCCACCCGCAGCGCAAACCCUAAAUCAGAUCCAAUCGCCCCCCUCCUCCAAUCGCACUCCUCCCUCGUCCCCAUCUCCACGCCACCGCCACCGCCGGACCCGUCCUCGCCUCCCGCCACCGCCCUUCUUCCUCGUAUUCUCCGGGCACCGACGCCGCCCCUGCCUCUCAGGAAUAUAGAGGAAGGCCCCCGCCGCCGCCACGCUCCUCCGUCACCGAGGCCAUGGAAGGGGCGGGAGGGCCCGUGGUCGCGGAUCUACGCCAGGACAUUGCGGCGGCGUGCGAGCGGCGGAUCACGCAGGACCGUGCCCACACCAUGGCCACCUAUGCCUUCUCCGACGCCGUCCUCUCCGCUCGCUCGCUCGCUCGCCGAGCACAGCGUCGCGCACCGAGGAACGCGCCUCCCCCGACGUCGUUCCUCUUCCGUUCAGCACUGAUGUUCCAAACCUAGGUGUACUCAUGUGCUUCUCAUGGAUAUGUCUUUCAAGUGUACAUCAAGAACCAAAAGACAAGGGCGUACUCCAAGCGUUUCCAAGUCCAUUUCAAGAGAAGGCGUUGGGGAAGACCGACUAUAGGGCCAGGCUGAGACCAACCAGGACAAGAACAAGUACAAUACCCCCAAGUACCGUUUUGUUGUGCGAAUUACCAACAAGGAUGUCACUGCCCAAAUUGUUUACGCUACAAUUGCUGGUGAUGUCAUGAUGGCCGCUGCCUACUCCCAUGAGUUGCCUUGCUAUGGUCUUGAAGUUGGCCUCACCAACUAUGCUCCAGCCUACUACAGCGGUCUGCUUUUGCGCCAUAGAAGGUCGUUCCCCUGCUCCCUCCUCUACCUUCCCCCAUCAUGGCAACAAUGCAGGAGUAAUGGCGACCCCUUUCUCCCUCUCAAAGGAUGGCAUCGAGAUGCAGUUUGCAACUAACCAUGUCAGUAUGAAUUGAUUACCAGCUCAACUCCCAUGUACUACUUGAUGAGCUGGUGAACCAGCUACAUACCCUGAUAUACAACGACUGAUCGUUUCCAAAUGAACUAAUAGCGUGCAAGAAUUUCCCUCACUCUCGGCAUUUAUGUUCCGAAUUGCCCUUCAGCACCACUGCUCACCCGAAGCAUUAUGGAAUGGCAAGUCACAAGCAUUGUCACCCCCUAUACAUGAUUCUGUUUGUAAUAUGAUUACAAUAGCAGAGUUGACAACAGAGCGUUUGUAAUGCGGCCUCUUUGAUGUUCUCUUUGUCAUAUGUAGUGCUACUGUUAUGUGUGUGAUGCUCCAGCUCCAUGCAAGCACUGGGGCAAAGGGCUCUGUCAAGCAGGUCUCCAUGAUAGUAUGCUGUGCUGGUGAUGUUUUUUCGUUGCUGGGAUCAUUUGAACCUGGAUGUCAUUUGUCAUGUGAUCUGAGCCAUAUGGCAUAUUGUAAACUUUUUAUUGCUGUUUUUAUGUAUGAUGUCAUGAAGAUGUACAUUUGAAAUGCUGCUUUGACAGCAAAAUUGUAUUCCUGUGUACAUCCUGCUUUGACAGCAAAAUUAUGAAAAUUUCUCAACAAUA